rnacentral:rRNA from 1 species
AACGAACGCUGGCGGCGUGCCUAACACAUGCAAGUCGAACGGAAUUGAGGGGCUUGCUCUUCAAUUUAGUGGCGCACGGGUGAGUAACGCGUGGAUAAUCUGCCUGACGAUCUGGGAUAACAUCUCGAAAGGGGUGCUAAUACCGGAUAAGCCCACGGGAACUUCGGUUUUUGCGGGAAAAGGGGGGGACCUUUUGGCCUUCUGUCGUCAGAUGAGUCCGCGUACCAUUAGCUAGUUGGUAGGGUAAAGGCCUACGAAGGCUACGAUGGUUAGCUGGUUGGAGAGAAUGAUCAGCCACACUGGAACUGAGACACGGGCCAGACUCCUACGGGAGGCAGCAGUGGGGAAUUUUGCGCAAUGGGCGAAAGCCUGAGGCAGCAACGCCGCGUGAGUGAGGAAGGCUUUCGGGUCGUAAAGCUCUGUCAGAGGGAAAGAAGUGUAUUGUGGCUAAUAUCCGCGAUACUUGACGGUACCCUCAAAGGAAGCACCGGCUAACUCCGUGCCAGCCGCCGCCGUAAAAC